AUUGAACGCUGGCGGCAUGCCUUACACAUGCAAGUCGAACGGUAACAGGUCUUCGGAUGCUGACGAGUGGCGAACGGGUGAGUAAUGCAUCGGAACGUGCCCAGUAGUGGGGAUAGCCCGGCGAAAGCCGGAUUAAUACCGCAUACGACCUGAGGGUGAAAGGGGGGGAUCGCAAGACCUCUCGCUAUUGGAGCGGCCGAUGUCAGAUUAGCUAGUUGGUGGGGUAAAGGCCUACCAAGGCAACGAUCUGUAGUUGGUCUGAGAGGACGACCAGCCACCCUGGGACGGAGACACGGCCCAGACUCCGACGGGAGGCAGCAGUGGGGAAUUUUGGACAAUGGGCGCAAGCCUGAUCCAGCAAUGCCGCGUGCAGGAAGAAGGCCUUCGGGUUGUAAACUGCUUUUGUCAGGGAAGAAAUCUUCUGGGUUAAUACCUCGGGAGGAUGACGGUACCUGAAGAAUAAGCACCGGCUAACUACGUGCCAGCCGCCGCCGUAA
rnacentral:rRNA from 1 species